CUCUCUCUCUCCAGAGGAUUCAUCUCAUACAUAGAGACACCACACCAAGCUUUUUCAAGGUGGUUAUGGAAAUUACAGGGAUUGAGAUGGAGUUAAUCGGUGAUGAUGAGAGGACAGUAUGGAAAGAAAUUGUACCAACAGAUGAAUACAUCACUGAAACCCAUUCAACUAGUGCUGUGUUGGGGG